UUUAACCAAGCCCACUAGAAAUAAUAAUAAGCUCAUCAUAAAUAGCUUAAGCCCAAUUACUAGUUUGAGCCCAAUUAACCAUUUUCAGAUUUAAAUAAAUUAAAAUUAAUAACCUCUUUAAAACAUAAAAGAAGUUCAUCUGUCUGUUUUCUAUUUCUUCCCCACGCAGACAUCUCUUCCUCUCUUCGCUCCCUCUCUCGGCCGCCUCUCUCUCCCCCCUUCUCCGGCGACGUCGCCAGUCCUCGCCGCCUCCGGCGUGGCGAGGCCGGCUCCUCUAUCCCCUUCUUCUUCCUUUCCUUCCUUUUCCCCCAAUUCUUAAUUCUUAAUUCAAAAUCAACCUAGGGUUUCUAAUUUCCUGAAGUUUGUUCCUCCGGUGAACUCUGCCACUGCCGCCGCCGUACUCGUCGCGCCGCCACCUCCCUCUGAUUCAGGGGUUGAUCGGCGUCGUCAACUCCGGCGUGUCAGCUUCCUCUACUGCCCAAGAUUCCAUUUUUAUUCUUUUGUAGUUAUAAAUCUGUUAUCUCAACUGUUUAUUCGAUUUAUAAACUCUUGUAUCUGGAAGCGUACUAUAAAUGUCAAAGAAAACUGGUAUUGUUGCCUUGGUAUAUUGAAUUGGAACUAGAUCUAGCUAUUGUCUA